ACUCACCUUAUAAAGCCCUGUUGUAGUCUGUAAGAGGGGCUGCCUCCUCUGCUUUUGUCAGGAGGUAGCCCGGCAGGACUGACAAUAAAUCAGCUUGCCUGAACUUGGGUCUGCUGGCCUCACUCCUUUCUCGGCUGUCCUUCCAAUUAUACCUUAUGUCUUGGUGCCGAAACCGGGAAGGUGGUAGAGUUCGGCCUCCUUUUCUCCCUUUAUCCUCCCCCUGCUCCUUCCCCUGGCCGAACUCCCCCUUCCAGAACCUGCUAGAGACCCAAGGAUCUCAUACAUCUUUUCCAUUGCUGGCGAACACAUCCAACACCAGGGACACCUCAGGAGAAAGAAAAACAAAACAAAACAAAGUGUGGCUUGCAGCUCAGUCGCAUGCCAACGAUCUUCAUCGGCAAGACCCUACUAAGCCCCUAGGGGCCGCUGCAGUUCCCCGAGAAGACCUUCCUGGGAGUACCAACCCACAUAACCUGGCCAGGCAUCUCAUAACCAUGUGAUUACUUGCCUCAUCACAGGCCUUAACAAAGCAGCCCAUAAGGCCAUAAUUUUUGAAAAGCUGAAAGAAAUCUCCCAAAGAGCAAAUGAAAACCCUGCUGAAUUUCUUUCCCGCCUUACAGAGGCCCUCCAAAAAUAUACCCUUGUUGACCCCACCUCCCGGGAAGGAACCAUUGUUCUGUUUUUUUUUUAAGAUGGAGUCUCGCUCUGUCGCCCAGACUGGAGUGCAGUGACGCGAUCUCGGUUUACUGCAAGCUCCGCCUCCUGGAUUCAUGCCAUUCUCCUCUCUCAGCCUCCCGCCUAGCUGGGACUACAGGCACCUGCCGCCAUGGCCGGCUAAAUAUUUUUUGCGUUUUUAGUAGAGAGAGGGUUUCACUGUGUCAACCAGGAUGGUCUCGAUCUCCUGACCUCGUGAUCCGCCCGCCUCGGCCUCCCAAAGUGCUGGGAUUACAGGCGUGAGCCACCACUCCUGGCCCUGGAACUAUUGUUCUUAAUAUCCAUUUCAUCUCUCAGUCUGCUCCUGACAUACAAAAGAUGGCCCUCAAACCCCUCAACAAGACCUCCUUAACCUGGCCUUUAAGGUCUUCAACAACAGAGAUAAGCAAAAUAAAUUAGAUAAAGCCCAACGAGAUGGUAAUAAAUACCAGCUCCUAGCAGCAGCUAUUUGUCAGCCUACCCAGGCUGCCCAGGGGCACAAAAGACCUGAUAGCAGUGACCCUCCCAGGCCCUGUUUUAAUGUGAAAAAGAAGGCCCUUGGGCCCAAGCAUGCCCUAACCCACAAGUGCCAAAAACUCCUUGCCCAGCCUGCCAACAAACCGGUCACUGGAAGUCCGAUUGUCCUCUUAAGCAGACUAACCGGCCGGUUCCUCAAGGCCCUGGCAAAGCAAAGAGUGAAAAAUCAUUCACACCCCCACAGCUCCUUGGCCUUGCCACUGAAGACUGAUGGAGCCCAGGGACCCUGGCCCCAUCUGCCGUCACUGCAUUGGAGCCCAGGGUAACUCUGCUAAUAGCAGUGCUGGCAGAGUGGAGCCAAGAUGGCUGAAUAGGAACAGCUCCAGUCUACAGCUCCCAGCAUGAACGAUGCAGAAGAUGGGUGAUUUCUGCAUUUCCAACUGAG